AACUGGCUGUUCUCUCCGCCGCCGCCCCUCCCCCCGCGCCGCCCGCGCUCGGCUCCUCACUGGAGAGAAGGCGCCGGGAGGAGGGGAAAGUGCGGCCUGGAGUCGCUGGUAGGAGCCGGUGGAGCUGGAGCUGUGGCGGCCCCAGACUUCGGGGCGCCCGCCGAGUACACAGACAGACCUACGGCCCCAGCCUUCUCCGGAGCCCCCACCGGCCCCCUCUCCGGCUCCUCUCCUGUCUGUGACCCCGCGCCAGUACCCUGAAUUGAUCUCUGCCGCCUCAGCCCUACUCCCUGGGUGUCGCCCCCACCUCGACCCCCCCCCCCCGCCCUGCUCCCAGAGGGAUGGCUGGCGAGGGACACACGCGCCGUUCCCUCGACCUUCUGUCUGAGCGACCCCGAGCGACUCGCCUUUCCUCCAGGGGAGGGACUGUGCCUCCGGCCCUCGGCGCCGCUGGAGUGGCGUCGCCUCGCCCCUAGGGCCGCGCCCUGCUUCCCUGGGGAACACCCUGCCUCAGACCUGCCUCCCCUCUUUAGAGGGAUUUGGUGGUGGAUACAAGGCAUUCAUGGACUCAGGAGAAGCAGGAGUGAUGCUUAGCAAGAACUUUAUUGUAGUCCCAUGGUAACUCCUCUACCUACGCCCGACUAAUGGGGUUCUGCCUUCCUGCCUAAAUGCCAUGCUGUAUACCAGAGAACUUCGGUCCAUCCAACCCUAGGUAAAACCAGAAUAGUGCAAUAAUAUAGAUCUGAGAAAUGGGUAGAGAAAGAGGGAGAAAGAAGCUCUGAUAUGGGUAAAUGACAAUAUCCAAACUAAAUAUAAACCCGAAUAUGCCCCCAAAACAUGUGUAGAGUAACUGUGCCUCACUGGUUUCCCACAAGCACCUUGGUCUUUGAGUUUAUUUCUCACAAGCUGUAUUACUUGCCUAUGGAAAAUAAUGCACCUAAAAUUUGUCAUUCCUAAAAGUUGUCAUAACUUUAAAACAAUCCAGCAAAUAAAGUUAAAUG